GGGGGCUGGGGGCCGGGGAGGUGCAGGUCAGGGGCCUGCUGGUCAGCCCGGCCCCCC
rnacentral:miRNA from 1 species